UGGAGGUGUGUGUAAGCGACAAGUUACAGUCCACUGUAAGGCUGGGUGGAGGUGUGUGUGUGACAAGUUACAGUCCACUGUAAGGCUGGGUGGAGGUGUGUGUGUAAGUGACAAGUUACAGUCCACUGUAAGGCUUGGUGGAGGUGUGUGUGUAAGCGACAAGUUACAGUCCACUGUAAGGCUGGGUGGAGGUGUUUGUGUAAGUGACAAGUUACUGUCCACUGUAAGGCUGGGUGGAGGUGUGUGUGUGACAAGUUACAGUCCACUGUAAGGCUGGGUGGAGGUGUUUGUGUAAGUGACAAGUUACAGUCCACUGUAAGGAUGGGUGGAGGUGUGUGUGUAAGCGACAAGUUAAAGUCCACUGUAAGGCUGGGUGGAGGUGUGUGUGUAAGCGACAAGUUACACUCCACUGUAAGGCUGGGUGGAGGUGUGUGUGUGUGUAAGUGACAAGUUACAGUCCACUGUAAGGCUGGGUGGAGGUGUGUGUGUGUGUGUGUGUGAAGUUACAAGUUACACUCCACUGUAAGACUGGGUGGAGGUGUGUGUAAGUGACAAGUUACAGUCCACUGUAAGGCUGGGUGGAGGUGUGUGUGUGGCAAGUUACAGUCCACUGUAAGACUGGGUGGAGGUGUGUGUGUAAGUGACAAGUUACAGUCCACUGUAAG